GCCUGGUUAGCUCAGUUGGUAGAACGUGGGACUCUUAAUCUUAGGGUUGUGGGUUCAAGACCCAUACUGGGUG